rnacentral:lncRNA from 1 species
UUCAAGUCGGCAAGCACUUACGCUGAACUCCGAAGAUUCCAAGUUUUUCUGUAAAAAUGACAUAGAAAUACAAUAUUAAAAGCUUUGCAAGGUACUGAUUUAGUACAUUUCAACAUAGACUAAAUAAUCGAAACAACUGGUAUGGAUUAGUGCAUUUUAGCAUUCCCAGUAUAUGAUGUUCGCAUCAGAUAGAAAAUGCAUACGAUUUCCCAUAUUGAAUAACACACAUUCUGGCACUCCGAAAUGUACUAUAUAAUUACAUGUGUGUACAGACUUUCAUCAACAAGUAUAACAUCAAGUGAUUUGGGAAAUAUGUGUUUGUAAUUAGUUUACCUCACUUUCAACCGGCAAUAAAGUUUGAAAAUUAUGAAUUUCAAAGCGAUACACUAUCAGUUGGCCGGAUUCCUCAACCCAACCAUGAAGCGAGGGUGAUUGAAAUUCACUGGAGUAGCAAAGAUGACUACUGCAAAGACAUUAUGCCCUGCAACGAAGACCAUAAAUCGUUGAAUAAGCUGUUAUAGACUAGAUCUACAAGCAAUAACUACAUAUACUGCACAUUUGAGUAAAAACCUACAAAAUAAAUUAUGAAGAACUUACAACCACUCACAUUAAGAGUUUACAUUCAUAAAUAAGAGGCCUAAUAAAAGGCCACACCAUGAGUCACAAAUUGGAACCGAACUUCAACGGUUAUCAGUAACCCAAUCAAUAAAUGCUUCUAAAGCCAUGGAAAGGCACACCUAUUUUUAGGUAAUG